GUAACGUUUCAUCGCUUCAUGUGAAGAAUCGGUAAAAUAAAAUAAAACUAAAGCUGCAUAAAGGCCUAUUCAGACCUAAGCGGUAUUCGCUACCGUCUGCGGCAGAGAAAACCCAGUGGGUAUGCGGUAUAGUUCCAAAAUACUGAACUGUCCUAUGCAUGACAUUGACAGUAGGGCGCCACCGUCAAUACCGGAUCGCUGGUUCCGAUUUUUGCCAUGUUGGAAACCAUAUUGGCUCUGUGCACGAUUACAGCGCCAACUAGCGUCUACAACUUUGUGGGCUCUGUCACAUUGACAUUUAGGUCGUAUAUUUGUGAAAAAAUAACAAAUAUUUUCAACUAAUAAAUUGUUGUGAUACCACGAUUUGGGUGGAAAAAAGGUUUUGAAAUAAUUUUGGUCAUUCAAAUCAAAUGAGAUCGAAAUGAGUAUUGUUUUGAAGACCGGGUUUGUGAGUUUUACAAUAUCAAAUUCCAACCACAAACCGUAUUUAAAGGAAAGUUGUUGGUAUUGGCUGGACAAGUCCGAGAUGUAGAAGAAUUAAGAACAAAACAAGGGCAGAGUUCAAUAAUUCACGCUCUCAUCAUAAGGCAAACAUCUGUGCACAACAACUACUGUGACUCAUUUUUGUACUACCACGUUGUAUAGUCUAGUUAUUUCCAAAUAGUAAACGGCUAUUAAACCAGCCCUAUCGAAAAACA